GAGAGGGACGAGAGAUGAGCAAUACAACUUGCCACUAGAUAGAAAGAAAGAUCAUGAACAAGAAUAAGCAAAAGGGACAAUAAGAGGAAGCUUAAUAGACCCAUUUAUUGUCCUAUGUAGACAAGACAAGUAAAUUGGUUAAAUGUUGGUACAGAAUCUUGUCAUGUCGAGCUUAUAUAUGUGAACAAGUAGGGGGAUGUUUGUUUUGAGCAUGAAAGAGAGUUUGAAGCAAUAUAUGACUCAUAGUUUAUGUAGUGAGAAGGAGAUUGAGACGAAAAGUUUUCCAUUGGCCGGUUGCCUACCUACAUCUGACAAUUCUCAUGUCAGCUAGAAUUACAUAAAAAAGAAUGAUACUUUCAAAAUAAGUUUUUUAAAAAAGAAUGAUUAUCAUGUCCGUGAAGAUCUAAUGCAUGCUAAGGCAGAUAAAAAGUUCUUCUUUAGUAGACAUUCUUACUGUUCCUCUACACCUUAACAAUGCAUUAGUAAGAAAAGCUUAAAGUAUGCUUAUUAUCUCUCUAUCUGCAAAAAAUUUCAAACCUGCAAUCUUUCCAAUCAGAGCCUGACAAACCAAAGCCUAAAUUAUGUUUAUCAUAUUCUGUUGCUAACACUUAUAAGUCAUAGUUUAUUAACACAGAUCUUAGUUUCCUGAACUUUUGAAUAGCCAAUCACUUUUUUAUAUUUCCUUUGAACUUAGUUUACCUAUUGAACUGUAAGAGGUAGUACAGAAGUUAUGCUAGCAUUGACUAAUGACAAUAUUUUUGUGUCAACUCAUAUAUAACUCUAACUAAUACCUGCAUGAUUGACACAUAGUUAGUGGCCAUGGUAGAGUUCUGAAUAACACUGUUCUUUUAGUGUUAGACUUUGAUACUGAUGCAAAUUUCUUUUAUUGAUUUCAGGUACGAGUUUACUGUUUUUAAUGAGUUAGUUGCUGGAAGAACAGUCUGGACAGAUGGUGAAGCUCCUGCUUUUGACGAGAGCCUAAAAGUUUGGAUCUUUUUGACAAAAAAUGUUGAAUUUAAGUGAGAGUUUUAAAUCGUGUACAUAGCACACUUCUCCUUGCUGCAGUUAUGCUUGUUUCUCAUUAAUAUUUCAAUGUGGUUGUUCCUAGAAGUGUUUAUGUUUACACUCGGUUCUCCUUAUAUGUUUUUCUCUAUCUAUUGUGUUCUGCUGUACACUUUUUAUUAUGGAUUCAUGAUUUAUUUGCUAAAUGGUG